GACUAAUUAAUAUUUUUAAUAUUUUAUUUUGGUUUAUUACAGAUGGAUCUGACUAGGGUGGGUCAAAUGUUGGAAGCAUUGUGCAGCGAGUGCUGAGUGAAACACAGCUCUUGGCCAAUUCACCAACACAGCGCUGGGUCUGCCUCAAAGGCAUUGCGUUUUAUCUGCUCACACCUUCUCUCAGGAAAGAAAGGAAAAAAGCAUUAUUUGUACCCACUGACUCUGCCUUGGAAGACCUCUUGCCUCACGUGGAGAAUUGCUUUGCUUCGUUGUGGGGAGAUAAGUGAAAUUUUUACAUUCCAUUGGUAGAAGAGAGAGGCAAAAUUGGAUCCUUGAAGACCCCUACCAUCACCUCUAUCAUUAUCCCUGCCCUGAUGACAAGAGGGAGCACGCUGUCACCAUCCUCCCGGUAAUACCCUCAUUACAUGUGUCAUCAGAGGAUGUUUGCCAUAUCUGCUUUAACACCACACACA
rnacentral:lncRNA from 1 species